rnacentral:rRNA from 1 species
AUUGAACGCUGGCGGCAGGCUUAACACAUGCAAGUCGAGCGGAGACUUCGGUCUUAGCGGCGAACGGGUGAGUAAUACCUAGGAAUCUGCCUAUUAGUGGGGGAUAACGAAUCGAAAGGUUCGCUAAUACCGCAUACGUCCUACGGGAGAAAGGGGGGGAUCUUCGGACCUCUCGCUAAUAGAUGAGCCUAGGCCGGAUUAGCUAGUUGGUAGGGUAAAGGCCUACCAAGGCGACGAUCUGUAGCUGGUCUGAGAGGAUGGCCAGCCACACUGGGACUGAGACACGGCCCAGACUCCUACGGGAGGCAGCAGUGGGGAAUAUUGGACAAUGGGCGAAAGCCUGAUCCAGCAAUGCCGCGUGAGUGAUGAAGGCCCUAGGGUUGUAAAGCUCUUUUACCCGGGAUGAUAAUGACAGUACCGGGAGAAUAAGCUCCGGCUAACUUCGUGCCAGCAG